GGAAUUGAGUCACAUGAUUAUGGAGGCUGAGAAGUCCAAGAUCUGCAGUUGACAAGCUAAAGACCUAGGAGAGCCAAUGUUCUCUUGAUCUAGAUGCUCUUCCUGCAAAACUUCCUGCAAAGUUCAAGGCUGGACCAGAGAAUGGGCAGCUGUAGAAUGGCCUGGAAUAACUGAAGCCAUAGCCUGUGAACCAACCUCCUCUCUGCCCUCCAAUUGGUCUUCUCAGGAGGGUUAGAAUGCAAACACAAAGAUGACCCCACCUCAACUGUCCUACGUCCAGGAGAGCAAGUGGUC